rnacentral:lncRNA from 1 species
UGCAAAGGUGGAGCAGGAGGACGCACUAGGGCUGGAAGAGCAGGGCUCUGGCAUGUACCACCAUUAUCACUUUUGAGAUUUCCAUUGCUGAGCUGUUUUAACCUCUUCUGAUGGGAUUUACCAUUGUAGUGGAUUUGUGCCUGAGCAGCAGAGUUGAGCUGAAUAUUACAAACAUUGCACAAAGUGAAAUUGGUCUGCUUCUUUUCUCUCUCCCUCUUUUCUUCAGUGCUAUCAGCUGCUAAUUCUUUCUCACCAUCCUUGUCUGGGAUGGAUGUGAAAGCUAAAUUGUAUGAGUGGUUAGAAGCUGGUAAGUCAGGGCUCCAGGGUUUCUUCAUGUUUUCGUGCAGCUGCCGGGGCUUGCCGCCCGGCGCCUUCUCCUUCCUGCCGCUCCGCAUCCGCCAGCACGCCGCCCCUCUGCCCAGCGCGCCGGCCAUGCCGCGGGCGGGGCGGCCCCGCGCAGCGCCGGGCCCGGCG